UGGGUUGUGAGGUAAGCGACUAAGCGUAAACGGUGGAUGGCUUGGCACAA
rnacentral:rRNA from 1 species